UACGGAGGGUGCGAGCGUUGUCCGGAAUCAUUGGGCGUAAAGGGCGCGUAGGUGGCCCCUCAAGCGUGCGGUGAAAGUCAGGGGCUCAACCCCUGAUCGGCCGUGCGAACUGGGGAGCUUGAGCACUGUAGAGGCAGGCGGAAUUCCGGGUGUAGCGGUGGAAUGCGUGAGAGUCGCGAAGAACACCGGUGGCGAAGGCGGCCUGCUGGGCAGUUUUGCUGACACUGAGGCGCGACAGCGUGGGGAGCAAACAGG
rnacentral:rRNA from 1 species